rnacentral:rRNA from 1 species
UGUGAAUGUUAAUAUUUAGUCUGACCUGCCCACUGAGUUUUAAAGGGCUGCGGUAAUUUGACCGUGCGAAGGUAGCAUAAUCAAUAGUCUUUUAAUUGGAGGCUUGAAUGAAUGGUUUGACGGAGGAAAAUCUGUCUCUUUAAUUGUAUUGAAGUUAACAUUUGUGUGAAAAGGCAUCAAUAUUUUAGAGUGACGAUAAGACCCUAUAAAAUUUUACAUGUUAUAUUAUUUGAUUGAAUUGUUSAGUAAUURUUARRUGGUUUAUUGGUGUUUUGCUGGGGCGGCUUGAAUAUAAURCUAACUGUUUAUAAUAUAAAAUAUUUAUUAAUAGAGAGAGGUCCUUUACUAAGGAGGUAAGAGUAAGUUACUUUAGGGAUAACAGCAUAAUUUCUUUUGAGAGUUCGUAUCGAAGAAGGUAGUUGUGACCUCGAUGUUGAAUUAAACUGUCCUUUAGGUGCAGGAGUUUGGAAGGAGGGCCUGUUCGGCCUAUAAAUGUUUACGUGAUCU